UGGGGAAUAUUGCACAAUGGGGGAAACCCUGAUGCAGCGACGCCGCGUGAGCGAUGAAGGCUUUCGAGUCGUAAAGCUCUGUCCUAUGGGAAGAUAAUGACGGUACCAUAGAAGAAAGCCCCGGCUAAUUACGUGCCAGCAGCCGCGGUAAUACGUAAGGGGCGAGCGUUGUCCGGAAUUAUUGGGCGUAAAGAGUGCGUAGGCGGCAAAUUAAGUCAGAUGUGAAAACUAAGGGCUCAACCCAUAGAUUGCAUCUGAAACUGAUAUGCUUGAGUCAAGGAGAGGAAAGUGGAAUUCCUAGUGUAGCGGUGGAAUGCGUAGAUAUUAGGAGGAAUACCGGUGGCGAGGGCGACUUUCUGGACUUGAACUGACGCUGAGGCACGAAAGCGUGGGGAGCAAACAGG
rnacentral:rRNA from 1 species